rnacentral:sRNA from 1 species
UCGACCUGCAAAAAGUGUAAAUUUUGUGUAAUUUUGUGUCCCGAAUGUGGGAAAACCCCUUUUGUGGCCCGAUUCCCACCACCUGCCUGUGCCACCGGCCAUCCCAUCUCUUUAUCAGCAUUCAACCAGCCAGCAUCGUCCUCGCCGGUCGAACAAAACCAGAAAACCGCGGCGAGCUUUUCAUUUCAAUUUGCUGCCAAAAAUGCCCACAGAUGUGGCAGUCGCGGAGGCGGAGGCGGAGGAGGGGCCAGGCAGCCGUUUGGUCGCUCGUUGGCCAAUUUAGUUUUAACGUUGCAGAUGCGGCUGGUGCUGGGUCUGGUGCUCCUUCUGUUAUCAUUCAAUUGGCGCCGCCCUCUGCUGCAAUUUUGAAUGCCAAGUGCAGGCAGUGGAGGUGGGAGCGUGAGGCGGCGGCACGUGAUCGUGGUCGAUAGGGAUUGAGGGACCACGGAGCGCUGGGAGUUAUCGGCCCUGCCAUCCCUCUGGGAGUAUGAUUCCCCGCCUGUGAUCUCUUCAAAAUCCGAUCGCUAGCGAUAGCUGGAAAUACCCAAAGCUGAUGCUGAAAUCAAUCUGGUCCGAAAAGAAGGAAGGAAGGAAUUCCCUAAGGAAAACAAAGGCAAAGGCUUAUAGGAAGGAUAGAAGGACACUCCAUAUCUUUCUCUGCCAUCUCUAUGCCCUUCGAGUGCAUUCGAGUUCCGGAUUCCGUCAUGGGUUUAAUUGGGCGAGUGCAAUCCUCCCUACUUUCGAGACAGCCACUUGGCUUGGCCUUUGGGCUCCCCCUCACCAAAUUAGCUUGACUAACCCCUGGACAAGCAGAUGUUGACUCCCUCCCCCUCCCCUGGGACAUAUUGUCACCUCAAACACAGCAGACGAGGGCGAUGGCGAUGGCGAUGGCUGUUGACAACGACAACAGCCCGUUGGGCAUUCGUUCCGUUCCGUUCUGUCCGGGCGUCAAGUGCAUGACUAUCUGAUUGCAUUCUGUGUGAAUAGUGGAUGGAAAAGCGUUUAAAAACAUUAAACUGCGUCCGGUUACGUGCCUGGAAUUUCGAGAUCCAACAGAAAGGACCAGAAGGAGGGGUAUCCUAUCAGCUGAAUGGCCUAAUCCUAACAAAGGAGGAGGAAGAGGAGUAGGCCACAUCGCUUAUGAGUCAGCGUUUUAAAUUGCUUUCGUUGGAGCCCUGCUCCACGCCGCGAGCCAUUUCCCAUGUUGCUCAAAAGUCUGGAAAGUAAUUCUAUUAAAAACAACAAAAAUAAUGCAAGAAAAUAACUACGCUCCCGACUAAAAGAACUAACUACAUCAGCGGCCACGACGAUGGGGGGCAGUGAGGAGGGGAGAGUAGGGGCCCGGAACGUGAGCUCGAUAACAUUUUAGCUGGAUAAACAAAUUUCUUUGGCGAGUGAGCAAGAGCAAAGCAAAUAUGAAAUUCCAUUAAUUUGAUGGAUGCUUCAGGCAGAACCAAGAACCGGCAACCGGAAACCGGUAUGGAAAUAUGUGAUAGGACUUCGGCUUCGAGUACAACAUGCACCACGGGACGUAUGAUUAAUGCAAUGUCUGCCGCACUGACUGGCCGUCAAGUCAGUGUCGAGAGGACAACAAUGAAUUAAUUAAUGAAGUGCACACUACCAGGCAACCAACAGCAGUCCCAGAGCAAUGUAUUUACAUAUGUAUAUCCCCAGUAACUAUAGUUUUUAUGGUCUUUCUUCAGGCUGUCAAGAUUUCUGUGCCUCUUGAUGGAUGGUGGCUGCAGCCACAACAGGUGUCUGCCUCUGCUAUCAUUGCCGAACAGGAUACAGCCAUCAAGGAUACAGGUUUGAUAGGUUUUCCUACAACCCGGAGGUGUAUCUUGGCAAUCAUUUGGCACUAAUGACAUUGCUGUGAUGGCUAUAUCGUACGAAUGGAUGCUUUGUUUAAGAAACAAUUAUCGAAGAAGACAGAGCGUGAUAAUUGGAACCCAACAUAAGGAAGGAACGACGAACUUGUAGGCAUCACCUCACCUUGUCAUACCUUCUCAUAAGUCCUUGACGUUUCCAUCUAAAGCGCAGUGUUGUGUCCAUCGAUUUGGCUGA